UAACCGUUACGGUUUCAUUUUAAAUUUUCCACUGUGGGGUUUAUAACGGCCGCUCUUUUGAAUGUAAUACAAAAGCGUCAGUUGUUGCCUUGGUAACGCAACGGUUUACUGAUGAUAUUAGAGAGCGCGUAACCAGCUACGGAGAAACUGGUAGUCAGGCAACAGACAAGACAUAUCCUGUGUGCCGGCGUCAAUUCACGGAUACUACCAGCACGAUUCAGCAACCGUCAGACAACCGUGCCGAGAAUUCCGGGCCGAGAACGGUUAGUAAUCGUGCCGUGCCGUACCAGGCUCCAGUGGAAACACAACAGGAACCGUUUGAAUCCAGUGCAUCCGGCGGUGAGUGUCUGUGUUCGUUUGCCCUUUGAAUGGUGUGACGAGGACGGAAGCUCAGGGGUUCGAUAUGACGACGUCGCGAGCCGCGAAGCGGCUGCAGUUUUGACGCAGGUGUAAUUCCAUCCACCUGUGAGACAGCUGCCGAUUUGAACAGCAGCUACAGGAAUCGAGCUGUGACUUGACAAGCCAACACAACCCAAGCAGCACAAUCCAGCUCAAGCAAACGCUUACAAUAUCCUACAUAAAAUAUGCAGGAAACACCUGGAGAUGGGCCAUCCCGGCCAAAACCAGCAGCUGUGAGGUGGCGGGAACCAUCAACAGCGAUCUGACCCAACCCUAAUCAACCUGAGCCGACCCACACCAGCGCUCAGGUGAGUCGCAGGCCAAUCGACAGCAGAAAGGGCUCAGAACUUGGCUGGACUCACUGACUCCGGGUCUGCUGGCUCGGCUACACUGCGACUCUAUUCAUGGCCGGUCAAAGUCUGUCUGUUCCUUUCAGACGCCAUACAGCACACAGGCCCGGUCUGUCACGCGUGGGAGGACAUGAAGCGACUCGCGUGAUGAGGGACUCCAGGUCAAAAGGUCAACGACUUUCAGAAUGG